UCGCCGCCGCCUGCCGCGCCGCCGCCAUGGCCGCGCGCCGCGACCGCUGACCGCAGCGACCGACCGCGCCCGGCUUCGCUCCACGCGACGCACGACUCCCUCGCCCCACACCUCGCUGCGCCGCCGCUAGAUGGUAGAAGACUGCCAAUGGAGACGCGGGGCCGUGUUAGCGGAGGUCGGUGGUAAUUGACAUUAACGGAGACAGAAAUGUGCGGCGUAGUCCAUGGGAUCAGACGUGCCGCUCAUCCGGCGCCUCUCGCUAUGCGGAGCCGGACCACCCCUCAGAAAUGAGGUGUCGGGGGCGCAGCGCGGGCGCGAGCGGCAUGCGGCCCUGGCAGCAGACACCCAUGGAGGUCGGCUAGCGGCGCGCGCGCAGCCCCCGCGCCCGCUACCCCCGCCCCGCCCCGCCGACAACAUGGAACUCGCCGACGUGCCUCGACACCGACCCCUGGCCUUCGAUAAGAUGGAAAGUUUGAUAAAAGAAAUGCAAGAUCCAGAAACGGGUGUACCAGUACGAAGUCAAAAACUUUUUCUUAGUGUCAUACCGUCUGCUUUUAUGGGUUAUGAUCUUGUCGAAUGGCUAAUGGAACGGUUUAAUCUCGAUGAAACAAGCAACGGUGAGUGUUUUAUAAGCGGCGUUGGAGCUUGGAUAUUCUCUCGGCGGCGAAACCCAGUAGAGUCUAGCCAUAGCGAGUUCCCACAAGCGUUGAUAUUUGAAGCAAUAAACUUAGCCAAUCAACUCUGCCAAUAUGGUUACUUCUUCCCCGUCAACGAUUUGAAAAACCUUGUGUUAAAAGAUGACUCAUCUCUUUAUAGAUUUCAAAGUCCAUACUACUGGCCAUGGCAAGCGCCUCGGGUGGCCGGCAGUGGAUCCAGCGCCCCAACCCUGGGCCCCGACAACGUGGAGUAUGCCAUAUACCUGGUCAAACGCACACUACGGAACAAGCAACGCCACGGGCUCGAGGAGUACGAGCAGGAGACGCUCGCCAACCUCAAGAAGAAUCUCGCCGCCAAAUGGGACUUUAUCACCAUGCAAGCUGAGGAACAGGUGCGUCUGGCGAAAGAGCGCAAAAAGGGCGAUAAGAUAGUGUCGGACAGCCAAGAGCGAGCGUACUGGCGAGUAGCCCGGCCUCCACCAGGGGUCGCUAGUGCGCUCGAGCCGUGCCCUGUGCCGGUGCGCGUGCGCCAUCCGCGACCGAAGCGCCGCACCAUCCACCACCUGACCAGAGAGAUCGAACAUCUAAAAGUGAGCCUGGACCGCACGCGAGUGAAGACUUCAAUUGCCCUAGAGGCCCUCGUGGCCUACUCGGAGACCUUCGCUCCCUACGAUCCCUGGCUCACCCCGCCGCAGCCCUCCAACCCUUGGGUUAGCGACGACACCCUCUUUUGGCAAAUUAACAGCCCUCUAGUGGAAGUUCCGAGUGAAAAGCGCGUGCAGCGAUGGGCGCUAUCCAUCGAGGAGCUGGUGUCAGACCCCACGGGGCUGCAAGAGUUCACCAGCUUCCUCCGCAAGGAGUAUUCGCACGAAAACAUUCGCUUCUGGCUGGCAGUUAUGGACUUACGACGAAGCAGCACCAAGCAAAUACCCAAGAAACUUGAGGAAAUCUACGAAGAGUUCCUGAAGCCGGGCGCGCCUUGCGAGAUCAACAUCGACGGCGCGACGGCGGAACGCGUGAACGAGGGCCUACGUUCAGGCUCGCGAUAUGCCCUCGAUCACGCAGCGGACCACGUGUAUGGACUGCUAUUAAAGAAGGACUGCUACCCACGAUUCGUGCGCUCCGACCACUUUCAGCGACUUCUGACUGAGGGUCGAAACGUGCACCAAAAGAAAGCCAAGUUCUUCAACUUCGGCGGACAAGUGAAGAAAAAGCCGGGCUCGACGAGCGGCUCGGGCAGCGGCUCCGCGCUGACGCGGCGCCGCGGCUCCGACCGCUCGCUGUCGGGCUCUGCGCACGAGUUGGCCGUGUGUGCGGCACAGCCACCACGCGCGCCCGAACCGCCACCUCAUAGCCAUUCGCAGUCCAAUCUCGCUGACAUACCCUUCAGGGAUCCUCUCGACGACGACACGGCGGACGUUCUGCCGUGGGAGAGUUCUUCCCGGGAGGGUAUGUGCAGCGUGGCUGGGCGACGAAGGCAGGACUCUACUGCUGACUCGGGCAGCUCAUCGUCUGACGUCAGCGCUGCUGUCGCGGUGGCAGAGAGGACUCGGCGUUUACCGCAGCAGAGCACGUUAGACGGAGGUCUCCGAGGCGCGCCGCCGCCGCUCCGGCGGCUGUCGGCCGUCGAGCCGCGCCAUCUCGCGCCGCUGGGGUCGCCGCCGCACGAACCGAAGCCAAUAGAGCGACCACGGCCGGCGCCGCCGCCCGCGUGCGCGGCGGUGGCGGUGGCGCACCCCACGCCGACCAUCAGCGUGAGCUCGGCGCCCGACGACGAGUCCGCGGGCUCGGGCGCCGCGUCGCCCGACGAGCCGCGCUCGCAGCCCGCCUCCGACGACCCGCCCUCGGUGUUCGCCUCCGCCGACGCCACGCCCACCGACCCCUCGCGCUCCCUCCACGACCGAACUGAACCGCGAGUGGAAGUGACCGUGGACAGUGCGAGUGAACUCUUGAUAGGAACAACGAGUCCGGCCUCAAGUAAAGAUAGUCAAAUCGCCGAUCUUCCAUGCCCCGCCGCGGAGUCGAGCGAGGCCUCGGAGCCGCCGGAGCCGCCGCCGGCCGCCGCGCCGCCGGUCGCCGGGCCGCCGGCCGCCGCGCCGGUCGCGCCUCUCGCCGUCUGCGAGGACAUCGGCGUCGACGACGACAACGUAGACAAAGUGCCUUCGGCGCCCAUGCAGCGGGUCUCGGCUCCCGAGGCGGCAUCCGAGUCGGACGCGAGAAAUAUUGCUCACAAAGACGAACUGUCGUCGGUCUCUGAAUCAAAUAUUGUUAAGCGUGAUAAUAAAAGCGUCAUCGGCGAGCGUAAGCGGAACGACAUAUGUCCGUGGGAGGACGAGUAAGUAAUCGUGAGUUUAGUUUGUGCAUUGUUCAGUUACACGUAGAUUUAUUUUUAUAGCUAUUAAAAUAUUUAGUUCACAUUAUGCUGUUUUAAACAUUUGUAGCCAUGCACCACGUCUGUGUAUUUUAUCCCGUGUGAAUGUUUAUGCACGACUCCUGCUCCUAGUAGGUAGAGCUCAUCUCUGAAUCAUAUUACUACAGAGACUUGUAUUACCUACAAGAAUUCUAUCCUUGGAUUCUAAUAGUUAUUAUUAGGACACCAUUGUUCAUCCACUUUACCUUACCUACUGCUUUUGUAGAGACUAAAUAAGUAGGUACAUAGUUGCAGGCAAUUUUAGCAGACUGAAUGAAUUUGAAAUUAUUUUCAGCACUCCAUACUCGUAUUUUUGAAAGCCCUUCAGUAAUCGAAUCUGAAUUUCAAGUCAUUAUCAUAUCGCUUCCACUAUCGCAAAAUUCUCCAAAUAAUUGAAUUAAAACAUCAGCGCUGUUUUAGAUCUCAUUGAUACGGUAAUUGCAUUCAAAAAUAGUGCUGAUACAAAUAAGUAUGGCUUUCUAUAAAAUUAGAACUUAAUAAGUAAGCCAAGUUUAAGCGUGGCCUCAGGAGCACAUUUUCUUCUACCCAUUUAAGUAGGAAUUCCUGUGAGAGUGAUGCUCCAUUUGUUAAAACUUAUGCAACGCUGGGUUAUUUAUAAUUUUUGUAGACGAAUAUCAAUAAUAUUUUAUGAUGUCAGGGUUAUAGAAAGAAUAAUAUUUAAUUUUUUAUCUUAGACUCUUUGUUUUUAAUUAUCACAGAGUUAGGCCAUUAUUAUGUAAUUAUAUGAAUAUUUUAAAGUAAAUGAUCGUUAAUUAUUAGAAACUUGUGUGUUUUAUUAUACUAGGUAACCUUAUUUGUUGCAAAAAAUCCUUACGAUAAAUUAAUGUUUAUUGGGAUUGAAAUUGAAACAUAUACUCAUUUUCCAAUUAUUUAUUUAAAAAAAAUCGUAAUCUAAGUUAGCAACCAAAUCAAUAGGUGAUUGAUUCUACAAAUUCUUAUCUUAAAACAUACAUGGAUAAUACUGUUUACUUUAACAUGAAUUCUUUCAAACACAUACUUAUCCAGUCCAUACAAAUUCAGUUACAAUUUCAGUUGCUGAGAUCCAAAAAUCGUGAUUAAUUUAUCAAAAUCACAUCACAUUCAAUUUUCUUUAUGAAAUAUACCAACCUAAAAUUUGCAUAAAACAUUCAAGAAAUGUAGAGCCAGUUUCUUAAAAUGUUGACACAAUAAAUAAUGAUUUGGUGGGUUUGACACAAUUUUAACUUAUUACUAAUUACGUUUUACAAAAAACGAGGAUAUCCGAGUAGUACGAUGGUUUAGUAGCAUCAGUUCCAUUA